AUAGAACGCUGGCGGCAGGCUUAACACAUGCAAGUCGAGCGGGGCGAAGGUAGCUUGCUACUGGACACUAGCGGCGGACGGGUGAGUAAUGCUUAGGAAUCUGCCUAUUAGUGGGGGACAACAUCUCGAAAGGGAUGCUAAUACCGCAUACGUCCUACGGGAGAAAGCAGGGGAUCUUCGGACCUUGCGCUAAUAGAUGAGCCUAAGUCGGAUUAGCUAGUUGGUGGGGUAAAGGCCUACCAAGGCGACGAUCUGUAGCGGGUCUGAGAGGAUGAUCCGCCACACUGGGACUGAGACACGGCCCAGACUCCUACGGGAGGCAGCAGUGGGGAAUAUUGGACAAUGGGCGCAAGCCUGAUCCAGCCAUGCCGCGUGUGUGAAGAAGGCCUUAUGGUUGUAAAGCACUUUAAGCGAGGAGGAGGCUACUUUAGAUAAUACCUAGAGAUAGUGGACGUUACUCGCAGAAUAAGCACCGGCUAACUCUGUGCCAGCAGCCGCGGUAAUACAGAGGGUGCAAGCGUUAAUCGGAUUUACUGGGCGUAAAGCGCGCGUAGGCGGCUAAUUAAGUCAAAUGUGAAAUCCCCGAGCUUAACUUGGGAAUUGCAUUCGAUACUGGUUAGCUAGAGUGUGGGAGAGGAUGGUAGAAUUCCAGGUGUAGCGGUGAAAUGCGUAGAGAUCUGGAGGAAUACCGAUGGCGAAGGCAGCCAUCUGGCCUAACACUGACGCUGAGGUGCGAAAGCAUGGGGAGCAAACAGGAUUAGAUACCCUGGUAGUCCAUGCCGUAAACGAUGUCUACUAGCCGUUGGGGCCUUUGAGGCUUUAGUGGCGCAGCUAACGCGAUAAGUAGACCGCCUGGGGAGUACGGUCGCAAGACUAAAACUCAAAUGAAUUGACGGGGGCCCGCACAAGCGGUGGAGCAUGUGGUUUAAUUCGAUGCAACGCGAAGAACCUUACCUGGCCUUGACAUAGUAAGAACUUUCCAGAGAUGGAUUGGUGCCUUCGGGAACUUACAUACAGGUGCUGCAUGGCUGUCGUCAGCUCGUGUCGUGAGAUGUUGGGUUAAGUCCCGCAACGAGCGCAACCCUUUUCCUUAUUUA
rnacentral:rRNA from 1 species